rnacentral:misc_RNA from 1 species
CUCUGAGGACUGGAAGGAGCAGUCAUGUAAGGGGAAGAGCAAGUACUAUCAAAGUUGAACUCCACCGGUGGUACUGGCACCACCACUUCCAUCUCCAUUGAAAGAAGGAGGGUGAGAUUUUAUGUGGAUUGUGCAGGUGAGAGAUUGGUUAAAUUGUGAAGUUCAUAGAAAGAGGAGGAAGAAGGAAGGAAGGAAAGGAAAUUUGACUGGAAGAGAAAUUGAUCACGCCUUGAUGAGAAGGCGGCUUUUAUAAAUCCACCAAUUCUGCUUCACUAUCCAUAGACUAAUGUUAAUAAAAAGAAUUUUUAAUCAUACAUUUAUUUUAAAAAAAUUAAUUACUU